rnacentral:rRNA from 1 species
GACGAACGCUGGCGGCGUGCUUAACACAUGCAAGUCGAACGGUAAGGCCCGACGUUGAUGGUGUGGCUGAGUGGCGAACGGGUGAGUAACACGUGAGCAACCUGCCCUGGACUAUGGGAUAAGUACAGGAAACUGCGACUAAUACAGGAUAGGUAAUCCCGCCGAAUGGGCCCGCUCUGGAAGGUUCGGCGGUUGGGGAUGGGCUCGCGGCAUAUCAGCUUGUUGGUGAGGUACUGGCUCACCAAGGCGCAGACGGGUAGCCGGCCUGAGAGGGCGAGCGGCCAGACUGGGACGGAGAUACGGCCCAGACUCCUACGGGAGGCAGCAGUGGGGAAUAGUGCACAAUGGGCGGAAGCCUGAUGCAGCGACGCCGCGUGGGGGAUGACGGCCUUCGGGUUGUAAACCUCUUUCCUCUGGGAAGAAGCGAAAGUGACGGUACCUGCAGAAGAAGCACCGGCUAACUACGUG